UGCAAAGCCAUGCUUUUUUUUUUUUAAAUCCCUGAAUAUAGAAAUAUACAUUUUUGCAUGUUCUGCUGAGAAGCCUGACCCAAGGGAACCUGCAUGAAAGGAGUGGAUGUGGGUGUACCAUCUCCACAGCAACAAAAACUCCAGAGAAAUGGAGGGCAGGCUUUGCCAAGGCAGCUCUUCACCUGGAGGACUGGGAUGAGUGAGGGUGACUGAGAGGGCAGUGAUUGUAAGACAUGGCUUGUUCUGGAGGACUGCAGGGCCAUUUGUGCUUCCAGCUCUGGAGAAUGUGUGCUCCUCUCCAGUCAAAUGUUUUCCUGUCACUGGGAGGUGACAGCAGGGUUGUUCCUCCAACCUCAAAACAGAUCCCAGUGCUGCAACCUCCAGUGAGUUCUGCAGAGCCCAAUAUCAUGUCCCAGCUCUUUGUCACAUCCCUGCUCUGGCACAGGGAAGCCUUUGGACCUAAAUAUAACUCUGGUCUGAGGGCUCUGCCAAUGCAGUGAGCAUUAUAUCAAGUUGUAGAAAUCUGCAUUUUGUUCCCCAGCAGCUCCCCAUACUCAGGUUACUAAGGUUAAUGUAUAUAACAGCAUCUGCUUGGUCUCAUUCCCAGUGGACAGCUGAACAUGUUGGCCCCUUUUGUUUCCUGUUUUGCAGGUUUACUUGUAGGAGUCAUUUUAGAGAUGCAAUGAGAGACAUGGAUGUCCGUGUGCUGCAUCUCAGGAAAGUUUGCAGCAUUGCUUUGUUUCUGUUUGGUCAGUAAAUGUUCAUUGGUUCCCAUGGGAACACAGAAAUUUUCCUUCUACCCUUAUGAGAAAGAUGAACAAGAGGCUCAUCAACACAUAAGCAAACCCCAGAGGACUUGUGCUUCUUCACUGCCCUGGCGUGGUGGAACAGUGACUUCUCUACACACUCUGCAACCUUACACACAACAACAGUAUUGCGGAGCCAGCUGGGAAACACAGAUGAAGGAGAUCUCUUUCCAACAGCCCUGUUUUAGGAACCCACCCACUCAGGGCAGAAGUUUGAGAGAAAAUUGAGUUUUGCUGAAGAGCGUCACCCAAAUGGGCACAAAGCCCGGCCAAUGCCCACUGGUCUGAAAGAGAGUGAGUUCUGGUAUAUAAAACUGCUAUUCAAGGGCCCUAUGGAUCCACACAACGUCCAUGAAGGCGAGGUUUAUUUUCACCCUGGAGUGCAGUCACACUCCCACUUCAAGUCUGCCAGGAUCAGCAGCAAUCCUUAUGGAAGUGACCCAACUGUGCAGACAGCCCCAUAAAGAUGAAAAGAAGCUUCAGGAAUAAAAAAAGAGUCAGAAAAGGAUGCAGUCCCCACCUCACUGGGGUGACCAACUGGUUGCAUAGGACCACAUCAUGUGAAAGGGUGUUUUCAAUAGGGAGACCAAAGCCUGGAGUAUUUUCUGCAGCUCUGAUUGCUGGUGUUGAAGAUGCAGUUCAGUGGAUGCAGGUGCAGACGGGAUCACAAGGACAGGCAGAGGGAUGGGGACAUUGCCAUUGAGAAGAAGGGCCUUUUCAUCAAGGAGCACUCUCUAAAGGCGGGGGAAAAAGUCAAGCAGAGAGCAGGUGGUGUAGGAAGCCAGAGUCAACCUGCUGCAGGAGGAGUUGCUGAGCGUGCUGAGCCGUGCUGAAGAUGCCCUAACAAGAUGUUGCCUGGUCGGAAGAAGGAGAGGUCCAGACGGGUGGUGUUUAAUCCUCAGAUUAAACUAACCUGGAAGAUGUGAGAAGUCGCUAAUGAAUUACAGCCUUAAUAGCCAUUGACAGGACCAGACUGGAGCUUUUCAAAGUAAAGCAUCCUGACUCAUGGACGGUGCCGACUUUGGUCCUGGGUUAACGGUUCCGUCCCUCUACAGAUCUGCUCCUACUGCACUGCAUUACUUGUAAAGACAGACACAGCCUUUUCUGCACUCAUUUUCUGCCUUUGACUCCUUGUGCACAGCAGAGUCUUCACGACAAUCCAGGUGUUUUCCAUCCGGCUGGAGCCGCUAGUUGCCGAAUUCAAGGAGCCUGGUUCAUUACUACCUGUGUCAUUUGCCUGACCUUGCCCCGAGACCGCAGUGGGAGCAUAACAAGACCACCAAAGGCUGAGAAUCAACCUCUUCCCUGGUCUUCAUGGUUAAACAUGCCAAACUGAACACGGCUGGAGUCCUUGCUGAGCUGCAUGUUUUGGGUUUCCUACCUGCUGAGGGGAGGUAUGUGUCCUCAUUUACCAGGCUGGGUGUGAAGUCUGCAAUUCUCUUCAAGGCAUUCUGCCUCUUUCCCUCUUUAUCCUCUGCUCCUCCGGAGUUUCUGCAUCU